AGUAAACAUCUCCUGGUUGUCUACUUAUCAGUUUCUAUCUAACCGGUUAUUGUUUGUCGCUCAGUGCUUUCAUCGUGCUUAGUAAUCCAGCCUGCCUAUAAUUUACGGAAGUUAGUAGUUCUUGUGGCUUAAAUAUGGCAGAUAAAUGCAAAAAAUGUGGUGAAGUCACACAGGCUAAGGAUAGUGUCAAGUGUACAAUCUGUAAUAGCGCCUUCCACCCGACCUGUUUAGAUGGAAGUGUUUCCAACGAGUUGAAAAAAACAUCCCUUCUUAAAAACUGUGAAUGUGAUCAAUGUAUGCAGAGUAAUCGUCUAGACAACACCUGUGAUUUUCGAAAGUUAUAGCUGAUUUUCGAAAGGAAAACAAUGAAAAACUCGAUAAGAUGCAGGGCAAUCUGAAUAAGGCAAUAUUCAACCUCACCGAAGUCCAGCGAGCUGUAAUGUGUGGAAUUUGACUCCGAAGAUAUAACUUUUGUCCGGCGAAUGUUAUUGUUAUGCCGUUGGAAGUGUUUAUGGCUCCCAUGCUAGUCAUGAUAUCUCACCUGUAUGUCAUGGAAUCCCAAAGUUCCUCCUGUAAUUGAUGAACCAGUAUAGAAAAAAUCUGUACAGUAAUUGGGGGAUCAAAAAACGAUUGGUGUUUGAGAUAAUAUGCUUGAAGUAGCUGAAAUUUGCCCGAGCUACCUUUCAAAAGAGUAUACGGUUCAAUGGUGACACUCCAUUUGAUGCUGUGUAAAAACUGUGGAUGAAUUAAUCUUCUAUUCAAAGUAUUUGCAUGUAUUUUCAAUCAAUUACAAACUCAAUGCAAAGUAACUAUAAGUUUAUGAGUUUAUUCCAGUAGAAUGAUCCUCCCUCUUUGAUGAUUUAACUAUUUAAGUCGUUUAAGAAAAAUUCAAGUGAUUGAGCUACUUCAGUUCAAGCUUUAUUGAAUUUUGAUCAAGUGAAAUGGAAAUCGUAAAAAAAUCCAACUUUGUUCACAGUCUUCCCUCGGUACUUGGAGAAAACGGUCAGAGAAAACUUCUAUACUGGAUGGUUUAUUAUAUGGUACGGUUCAGUACUUGAGGAGCUCAAGGGUUAUCAGUAUAUUGGGCCUGAAUUAAGAUUUGACAGAAGAAUUGAAAAUAGCCUGCUGAUCAGAUCAGUUCGAAUCAGUGCUUGUGUUACAUGAUCAGUAGCAUAAGUGUUGCACAUAGUUCCAUAUAUGAUAACAAAAUGAGUUUUCCAACGCCUGGUAGCGGUGAUUAUCCUAGACGCAUCAUUUUGUAGAGUGCUCAACUCUUGAUGUGUAAGCCAACUUUUGAUUUGCCAAACCGGUAUGUAGUGUGUGUGUGUGUGUG